AAGCAAGAAACUUGUGGUAUUAUGGUUUCGGCCCAUAACUAGGUGUAUCUUUGCACCCUUGCUUU
rnacentral:tRNA from 1 species